UUGUGCAAAGGUAGCAUAAUCAUUAGUUUUUUAAUUGAAAACUAGAAUGAAUGAUUGGACGAAAUAUAAACUUUUUUAAAAUUAUUUAUAUAAAAAUUUUUUUUUUAAUAAAAAAAUUAAAAUGUGAUAAAAAGACGAGAAGACCCUAUAGAGUUUUAUAUUAGAAUUUUAUUUAUAAUAAUAUUUUAAUAUUAUAUUGGGGUGAUAUAAAAAUGUAAUAAACUUUUUAUUUUAUGGGCCAAUAAUUUUUGAAUAUCAUUUUAUCUAUUUUUAUAAAUUAAGAUUAAAUUCCCUUAGGGAUAACAGCGUAAUUUUUAUUUUGAGUUCUUAUUGAAAUAUAAGAUUGCGACCUCGAUGGGGGAUUAAAAUUUAUAUUAAAUGCAAAUGUGGAAAUAUUAGGUCUGUUCGC
rnacentral:rRNA from 1 species